UCUCCGUUAGUGAACCAGCGGAGGGAUCAUUACCGAGUUUACAACUCCCAAACCCCUAUGUGAACGUUACCAACCUGUGGCCUCGGCGGGAAAUUCAUGCCCCGGGCGCGUCGCAGCCCCGGACCACGGCGCCCGCCCGAGGACCAACCAAAACUCUUUUGUAUGUCCCUCGCGGACUUUUAUAAUUCUGAACCAUCUCGGCGCCCCUAGCGGGCGUUUCGAAAAUGAAUCAAAACUUUCAACAACGGAUCUCUUGGUUCUG
rnacentral:misc_RNA from 1 species